GUAUUUGGCGUAUAUAUAUAUUUUUUUAAAAAGGUUUUUUAGGGUUGUAUGUUUUUCGAAAAUGGUAGGUUGCGUGAAGUUAGGUCUCCAUAUGUUUGAAACUGAUUUUCAUACUUUUUUUUACCGUUUCACGGCACGCAGCGUGCACGCAUUCGCUAAUCGGCCGUAUAAUAUUUAUAAUGAUAUUUGAUAUGUUUUAUAUAAAAAUAUAGUUAUUAAUAAUAUAAUAUUAUUGAGAAUUAUAUUAUUGAGGAUUAUUUAAAAUUAAGCCUCUGAACGCGUUUUCUCUGUGCUGCGUUUGCGUCUACGAGCUGCAUCUGGCAUCUGGCGUUACGGCCUCUGUAGACGGGCCUUUAAUGCAACUUUCGCGCGCGGCACUGCAUUCGAUGCGUCGCGCGUCGUCUGGCCGCAUUGUUUCUUUUAUGACACUCAUUACGCGUGCAAGCCACGCUGCAUCAUGUACUUAAUAACACCGAGCAAAGUACAUUAUACAAAACAGCGCGGGCUAUAAGGGAACAUGACAGCCUCUUUAUACGGUUUUACGAGUGGUCUUUAGAAAUUUAUCAUCGGUCGCGUACGAGACGAAAGUGGGCUGAUUUAAUAACGCGGAAUGCGGACGAAUCUUGCGCACCGUCGGCUAAAUAAGAACACGAUUGUCGCGGCACGUAUCGCUCGACAAAAGCGGCUCCGAGAUCUCUUACAGCGAGUCUUCGCGAGUUUCAUUAUCCAGCGGCGGACCAGGCGAGCGGAGCGUUUUCCCGCUCGGGAAAUGGCACCGUUUCGCCCGUGGCGGGACGCUUGCUUCGUCGUGGCGUAUUCUUUGUCCGGAGGAACCCGUUCUCAUUUCGGGGAUACGUGCCGGAUUCUCUAUAUCGCGCGAACUUCGCUCGCAGCUUGCUGACUGUCGCCAGACGGAAAAUUCGCCGGUUUCGAUUCCGCGGUAACGGCGAUCUUCGAUUACUCCCACAAGGCGAAGACAAUCGGCAUGCGUCUCUCUCUAUCGACGUUACCUCCGGUUAUUGUUGUUGUCGUCGUUGCUGCCGUCGCGGCAGGUGCAAGUGCAUCGUUCACUAGUCGAUAUUAGAUCUCGUUGUUACCGGAUUCGAUACGCGCGCACGCGAACUGUUCGUGUAGCCAAUAAGGCAUGAACAAGGAACAUGUAAUGAAAGAAAGUGUAACUUGGAGCGCUAAGAACGAGGAAACAAGGAAGGAAAGAGAAGGGAAGAUAGGAAGGAAACAAGGAAGGAAAGAGCGAAGCAGAGUGGCACCUCGAGAGAUGAGAAUGACAUUUGUAUGCAUUGCGGCUCGUAUUACAUUACCAACUCGAUCCAACACCUCCCUCUUUCUCCCUCCCUUUGAAUCCCGAAUUCUCACUUGCUACAAGUUGCCCCAUGAUUACUGUUUUCCUAUGCCACGGUGCGUUGCCUAGGGUUGUUCCCAUCAGAAGACCACGUUACGUCGCGUCGUGCUACCAUCGUUCCCCGUAUCCUCGCGUGAACACGUGGAGACACUAAAUCUCCCGAGGCUAUGGAGAACCAACAAGUCAAAUGGACGAAAACCAUCGCUGGUCGACGACGCGCGAAUCUUCCCCUUUCAUGACAUGGCCGAUUCACGAUCGAAGAGACCCACCGGUAGCAAUUUUUCUCCGUCGCGCGCUCCUACGUCGAAGCAAAGUUUACCUAAAGUAAGUUUACGGCCAUGCGUCUCGGAGGAGUAUCGAGGGAAGAUACGGCAUUUCAGAACGCAAGCUCGUGACACAGCGAAAGUACACAACGAAAGAGCCGAUAAUAUCUGGAUUCGGUGCUCCGUCGUAUCUAUAACAUGGCAUUGAGGUAUCGGUUCCCCGUGUAUCGUGCGAGUGUUUGAUCCUUAAACUCCUCUCUGAGGCACGCAAGGAGGAAACCGCCAGGACGAAUAAGUGCUCCGUAUUCACGCGAGCUUACGCGCGAUUCUCCCAGGGUUCUGGGUGAAUCCAUGAUCUGGAGGUUCCGCGGAAACCCGUUGCGCAUAGUAAACGCGAAUAUAGUUCGCGAUUAAAGAGCUCCGCAGUGCUUCACUUGGAGAAGUAAUUUCUCCAAAGCAGAGAAAUGUUGCAUUCCGCUGAGAAAUCUCUUGUACAAAUCCAGGCCCACAGCUACAAUUCACUAAAUACUCAAACUACAACUUACCGAAAUCCUGAAGAGAACACGAUACAAGAAUCGCAGCCGUACGGUUUCAUUACGUGAAAAGAGAAAAUUAAACAGCCAUUAAAUCGACAUAACGAGAAACAGAACGAGAUAGAACGAGAUAAUCAAUAUACAGUUAAGAUAAUACACUUUCUCGGUUAGCACAAGACUCGUAACAGAUAAAUGAUCGUCAGCUCGCUCGCUCCUGCCAGUCGAUCUCACAAGAGAGCAAUAUUGCGUAACGCUACGAAUCAAUUUUUUGUUUUCACCAAGAAAUACGAACAAGAGGAAGAGAAGAGAGGCUUUGGAUCUGUCGCAAAAAAGACUUGGACAUCGACACGUCGUUCGCCAAAGCGCGGACUCGUUACACACGACGAUCGCGUUGCGGAACGCGUGAACAUCAAUCACGGGUCGACUGCACAGAUACACCCUGGGCGAUUACCCGAGGAUAAAUCUUCGUCGCUUCGUCGUUCUCGCGGUGUCCAAGGUAGCCGGAGAGCAGCAAGGACGACGCCGCUCAUUUUUGUUCCGCUCUUCCUCGUCCCUCAUAUGCAAGGCACAUUUCAGAGGAGUGACGCAACUCGGAAUUAAUGGUCCAACGUGCCGAGUCAUACCAGUGAUCGUUGGAACGCUGAUCGCGAGAAUCCGCCGGAAAGAUCGACCGAUGAGAGAUCGAGGAGCACCGGGUGCUGCUUCCAGAACUUCGCAAAAUAAUUCACUUGGCGAAUAUUCCUCGUCCGUCGCGCUCGUGAUUAAGCGCGAGGUCAGACGCAAUGCCGUAGAUCGAAAUCGAAGACUCACGCAAUCGUCCCCGUGACGAGUACGUGAAGAGACUAACGGCAUUUCUAAUCGAUGUCUCUAAACGGCGAAAGCAAGACUGUCUGAGCCCAUCAUGCAUUUUUUGCAUCACGUUGCUGACUCUACGGAGUUGAUUCGAGUUAAGUAAUCUUCAUCAUGCAGCAUAUGCAACAAGAAUGUCCGUGUAUCAGAUAAUAUGCAUGUUGCAAGUUCUCUCUCCUAUAUAUAUGUAUAUGCGUUAAUGAUGUCUCCAGAUAGCUCUUGAAGAGUGAAUUAGACUUAAAGCUUUCUGAUAUACUUAAGUGAUAAUUAGAGACAUUUAUAAUAUUCAAGAAGUUCAAUGAAGAUAUCAAUGACACUACAAGUCCUUUCGUGUCCCUAUAAGCACAACGAAAAUGGCGAUCAAGAUUUAAUUAAUGCUCUUUCCAUUCAGAUUUGCUGUCUACUACCUGUAGCCGUCACAAGUACGAAAGAUUCGUGGCACGUCCGCCCAUGGGCGUGACACUCGAGAGGAUGUCGUGCUUAAGCCUUCGUGUUUUUAACGAUGCCACUCGUAACGAAUCGUGCGGCGGUACUCUUGCGAAACGGAAAGCCCGUACGAUUCUCCCGCAGUUCGCCCGGAGGAUGCCCGUCAUUAUAAAAAGGUUUCGGUCGCUGCCUAUCUGCCUGCCUGCUGUAUUGAAAUGUAAUCGCCUUUACGUAACAGGCAUAAUAGGAUUUUUAUCGGCAUGUAAUAGUCGGCGACGCUUGCACAAGCUUCCACAGGGCGUCCUAAACAAGCGGACAACAUUAAUGAGACUUUGCUGUCGCGUAAAGCUUGCGUCUUCCAGCCUCUUACACUUACAAACUUAAUUAUCACGAUUCAAGAUACUGCGAGUCCUCGCAAAAUCGCCGCAAAUUCAUCGAAUCUGACGCGAACCGAUCUUGAAUGCGGUGGAUCCGUGCAGUGUAUUCUCUCUCAGAGCAUUCUUGUACAUUCACAGUCCGAUCAAUCAAUCUCGACCAGCCGGAAAUUUGCUUAACAAUGAGAUCGCGUUAUACGUCGCGUAAGCGAUGGAAAAUAGGUUGGGCGCGUAGAGAAAUCGCUAAAAAGAAAAUAAGGAUCUAUCGGCACUGCCGAGGUUUUGUGCAAAAUGCUCAUGCAUACGCUCGCAUGCGGCUUCGUAUGUUAUAACUCAUCACUGUCAAUGUAAAUCAAGCCCCGACGUUGGCACUCUUCAUCUCAUUUAUUUUUUCGCUUGACGCUUCCGCCAGACGCGAAACACUCGCGCGCGUGCGCGCAGUAUGUGAGCGUGUCACGUCUCUUUUCCUCUUUUUUUUUUUACAAAUUCGGCUUUAUUGAUUUCUACAUCAAACGGCUUAUUCUCUCUUUUUAUUAUCUCCCAUUCCGCUCGCGCGCGCGUCGCAUGCACUCACGGAGUCGUUGCAUCUCCAUGGGAACCACAAAUUAAGCGUGCGGCGUGGAGUAACGGCGGACGAAUCGGUCUAAAGGGUGAAUCGGAUUUUAAAUUAAAAGCUCGCACGCAGGCUAACUUCCGCCAGUUUUAACUUAGCUCAUUGCACUAGCUAUCCCUUUCUCGUUUUCUCUCUCACGCACGUGUAGUCGUGCUGCAAUACGGUACAAUCGCACGUUGUAACAAGCUGUUUUAUAUUUAUUAGAAUUUGUUGCUCCGCUUUGCGAUAUCGUUUAGAGACAUCAAGCGAAAGUCGAUUCUGGCGACUAUUCCUCGGAUUCCAACUGUCUGACGGAAAAUGAAAUUGGACUUUUACAGGCUCAUCACGUUAUUUCUCUCUCGAGAAAUUAGAUGGGUUUAUAAAGAACUCUUCACUAAUAAUGUCGUGAAAAUUUGCGUACAAUUUAUAAGAGAAUGUAGUUACCUUUGAGAUUAAAACAAAGCGAGUCAAAAGAUUGUAAAUUAGUUCCGCAUAAUAUUCUAUAAUACUUUUUUCGGCAAUUUUGAAAUUUAAAAGAAUGUAUAUUAAUUUAUUUGCGAUUUUAUUAAAUGCACCGAUAAUAACUCCAAUCAUAACGCAUAAAAUAACGCAUAAAAAGGAGACGUUUUUCAAAGUUCUCUGAAAAGGUAGACGACGUCUUUGUUAGCCGACGGGCAUACGUGCGAAUUUGUUCAAACAACCGCGUUAUAAUAAGGUCCGCUAUUUUCCUGGCGGAAAUUUCACUAAUUAUGGCGGCGCCGGGGAAACUUUUUCCCCGUGAAAAGUGGCGCAUCCACGCUCCGCGCGCAAAUUCGUCAGGACGCGCGUCACUCUUUUCUUCGCGAAUAAUUAACGAAACUUUCGAAGCUCUGCUGCGUUCGACAGGGUAUCCACCUUGUCAUGUUUAACCGACACAUACGUUUCCACCGGUUUUAUACGCGUCUACGUGCCCGUUUCUAAAAUUUAUAACACUGAAAGCCGAGAUAUUCUCGGCAAAAAAUUUGAAAUUGAUCUCUCACGUAACAACCAUUAUUUGAAUAGAAAUGUUAUUUCAGAAAUUCGGUAAAAGCGCUAUCAGUUUGUUCAACACGAAAAACUACGAGUUAAAUUUUACAUCUAAACUAUCGCAAUAAUCAUAAAAUACUAUGAAAUGCAUCUCGUUUAUUUUAUAUGCUAUAUUUCUGUAGGAUAGUUGGAAUAUAAAUAAUAUUGUAUACAGCAUAUUGCGCCAUGUAUAAAUAAAUUCAUUUGCGGUCUUUAAAUCCAAUAAUUAUCGUAUUACAGUAUAUAAAAUAUUGGAUCAAUCAAAAAGUUCGGUUUUCAAUUUUUCAAAUUAAAUGCUAUAUUAAUUCAAGCUAUUAAUCCAAGUAAACGCGCGCAAUUUAUAUUCCUUAUAGGAGAUACCAGCUAGGAUUUUUCAGAGAAAAGGAAAGAGGGGGAUCGUGCAAGCUCAUAUCUCUUGGUAUUAAUAUGAUACAAGGGAUGCAGCACACUGGCGAUUAUCCAGAUAAUGCGCAGCGCAUAUGUAUGCAUCUAUACGGGACGUAAAGUAUUACUGCGAGAUGGCAACUGCAACCGUGCACGACCAACGCGUCGGCGUUUCGCAUACAUUCGCACUUUCCUAAACUGAAGGAGGAAUACCGUAAAAGGACAAUACCUGUCGGUGAAUUCGAAAAAGCUUACAGUGGGCGGCGCAUGCGAGGUGCAGCACUCGCUCGGCUUACAGAUGCAGUGCACGCUCAUUUAUUCAUGCCGGCAGACGAUUAAUUAUAUGGCGCAUAAUACACAAGAGCGAUUAAAAAUUAAAAUAUUAUAAUAACUCCUAGAGAGCGCAAUGAAACGUCGACGUAAACCGCGAAACGUGCCUACUGCGUUAUUCACGAAUACGCUUGUGCAUGCAGUUAAUGCGGUUCGGUCAUAUUAUGCUACCGGCAAUUUUAUUUUAGCAAGAUUAAUGAGUUUAAAAUAUGGAAGCCAUUAAUAUCAGAUCGCUACCGCGCGCGCGGUGCCACGGCGGUUAAGCGACCCUUUUUCCUCUUGCCGCCGCCGCCGUGUUCAUAGACAUCAUUUUACGCAUUUAAUAAUUAAUACGCACAUUAUGAUUUAUUGUGCACCGUGAGCUGUCGGCUGGCUUCGAGCUGAACUCCGAGUGGCAUAACGUUUUACGUAAUACGAGAGCGAAAAGAAUCGGAAAGAUCUAGGAAUUAUAACGAUCGAAAAAUGCGAGAGGCCUCGAGAGUUCAACCAUAAUUUUAAGAUAAAGAUCCGACACGCGAUGGGGUUGUAAUUACGCGAAAACAAUUUUUUAAAAUUAAAAGCCUCCGGCUAUGCUCGAAGCAUUCGUGGGAGCCUCGGCGUUUCACCAUGAAGAACCAAAGACGCAAAACAUUUAAAACUCGCGACCCCGGAAACCCGAUGUUCUCUCAGGUGUCUUUCGGUGGCUGUUCAUUCAUCGUGUCUCCACCGGGAAAAACAGAUUCGGUGUAUUUGAACGCACAAAAGCCACCCCCCUCACAUUAGCGGCCGCCGUUGUGCUCGGCCGGAAAACCUCAGAAAACGUAUCGUUUGUGCGGAACUAGGAAGAGGAAGGAAUCCCCGACAGUCGGGCGCGCGCGGGGUUUCGGAUCGAUUAAUUAUUUAACGAAGCCCCCUUCUCCUCACCGUCAACCCCCUCGUUUCCGCGGCUCCACCUCUUUCCGCGCUGCUCGCCUACCUACCCACCCACCCCGGUUGCUCUACCGGUGUGUUUAGCCCCGAAGCAUCGCCCGCUCGUACCGUCUACGUUUCCAACCCCCGCACGACUCACCCUCCCCCUUCCUGCCUUUCUCCUUCUGUGCGUCGACCCCACCAGCCGCUCGGUCUGAAAUUUCAUCGUGAACGCGAGAAUCGUAACUUCGAUCGCGCGCAGUACUGCCCUGGACUGCCGUGCCUCCGUAGACUGCGCGGGGGAGGUCAGCGGGGGAGAUAGAGAAUACGCAGGGAUGUUAGUACAACGGAUACCUGCGUAAUUACUUCCCCUUUGAUGGUAGAACUCGCGAUGUUGCGUACGCGUGCAUGCAAACAGCGAGGAGCGUGUAAAAAGCAAACGUGCCGCGGCACAAGGGAAAAAGAAUGCGAUCAAGGAGGCAUCUCCAGGUGGUUGGGUCGCGUUAACUCCGAGCGCGACGCGCAAUAUGCGAGAUAGUUGCUUUGUAAAGUCGAAGCCAACGAACAACAAGUGGAGCUUGCUCGAGUGUAUCUUUCCGGGAACGCGGGACAUACCGAGAGCGUCGCAAGCCUGAAGAGACACGGGAGAUGCGCAAGGGUCAGGUCCACGGAGGGGGCAGUCAAAGAAGGAAGAGGGUGGUCGGGCGCGAUGGGGCGCACGUUGCACAGGCGCACACAGUUAAAUGGCUCCGAUGGCUGGUGGAUCAGGCGAGGGAGCACAAAGGCGGCGGGAUCGUUCUUUGCGCCGUUAAAAGGCCCUCCUCCUAAACGACCAUGACGAAAAGGUACCUCUUCCUCGCCGUCGUAAACACCGCGCGACGAUCUCGUUCGCGCUCGCACCCCGUUCACCCGCUCUACCCUGCUUUUAUUCUCUCUGCUUCAUCCUUCGCCGGCCCGGCUGCACGUUCUCGCUCCAACUCGCUUGCACCCCUUCGUCAGCUAACGGGAGAGAAAAAGGGAGAUGAAGAGAAAGAGAGUGAGGAAGAAGCAGAAAGAUGAAGAGAAAUAGAGACAAAGAGACAGAGGAAGAGAUAAAGAGAGAGAAAGGAAGAGACCCAUCCAGCCACCACCUCUCGCGAGCUCGUUGCCCCGUCGACCGUCCCGUGAAUUUCUUCGCACACCGGGAAAACGGCUCCACCUUCGACGGUGUCUCGUUUCCGGGGUGACAUCUUUCAGCAGAGUCAGCGGCGAAGUUGAACACGAACGCCGAUACACGGCGGGAUCAUCUUCUCGGUUAGGUUUGGAGGGGCCGAGAGGGAGGGAGUACGAGAUUUCACAGCGUGCAUGUUGAACACCAUCGUCCGGGUCGACGCGAGCUUGCUACACUUUGAGGAUAUUUAAAGAGAGACUCGAAAGGGCGGACGAGCACGGCGGUAGCAUGGCUAUCGGUUAAACGAGCGUUACUUACUGCCCCUUUUCACCCACCUCCUUCCCUUCUCACCCUCCUGCGCUCGAGCCUUCUCGUAUUUCCUUCGCCGGUUUACCGUCGCUUACUGUUUACCGACGGUAUCAUAUUUACCGCGAUUUAUUCCCGGUGUUAUCACGCCUGCGGUUUCACCCCUGGCUUUCUUCCCCCGUGCACGACCGAAAGUAGCGACUGCGUGCUUUACGAUUACGAUUCUUCUUGAUUUUGGGCGCCUGUAUGAUUACAAACGUAACGACGAGUGGAUAAACCUUUGAUUCACUGUUAAAUACAAAAUUAUCAAUGGACGUUCAAGAUGCAGAAAAAUUACAGAAGAGAGAGUAGAGUAGAGUAGAGGAGUCUUUAUUGCACUAGGAUAAAAAUCCCUUAA